rnacentral:tRNA from 2 species
GGUGGGGUGGCUGAGCGGUUGAAGGCACCGGUCUUGAAAACCGGCAAGGGGCUUGUCCUCUUCGCGGGUUCGAAUCCCGCCCCCACCG